CUUAAAAUGGAGCAAGACAGCUGCUACUUCUCUCAUUCUGGAUAUUUCACCUCUCCGCUGCGCGCUGGUAAACUCCUGAAUUAGCUGGCACUCUAAGUCAUGGUACUUACUUGCUAUCUUUGAUUUUACUUCAGAAAACCUGUCAAAAGGCAGUUCCUGUGCAAUCAAAUGCAGUUUCUGAAUAAUAUCAGCUGCCUCUUUAAUCUUUUCAGAGUUUGUAAAAACAUCAGACUUCAGCUCUCCAUCCAGAAACUCAUUAAAGUAUUUCAUCAGCUUCUGAGCCUCCACAGCCCGUUGCCGCGGCGUGUUUACCCCCUCCAGUUGGUCGCCAAGGUGACAGACCUUAGUUGCUACAUAGCUGAUGUGCUCAUCUAGUUCUUGGAAAUGUUGGAAGGCAACCUGGUUGCUCUUCUGCAGCUCUUGUACCUUCUUGGCAAAUUCCUUGGCUUCUUUCUGGCACUGCUGUUCAAGUUUCUCCACCUUUCUUUGAAUCCUCUCAUCCAUUACCUGUAAUUCUUGGAUGUGAUUCACAAAUUCUUCCAAUAAUCUUUUUGGAUCGAAAGCUUCUCCACCUCUGGAACCUCCUCCAGGUGUCCUCCAUGCCAGCCGUUCAAUGUAUUCAUCUGCC
rnacentral:lncRNA from 1 species